rnacentral:tRNA from 1 species
GCAGUGGCGGUUUAUUGGUAAAAUUCUCACCUUCCAUGUGGGAGGCCCGGGUUUGAUUCUCAGCCAGUGCG